UACGGAGGGGACUAGCGUUGUUCGGAAUUACUGGGCGUAAAGCGCACGUAGGCGGUUUUGUAAGUCAGGGGUGAAAUCCCGGGGCUCAACCUCGGAACUGCCUUUGAUACUGCAAAUCUCGAGUCCGGAAGAGGUGAGUGGAAUUCCUAGUGUAGAGGUGAAAUUCGUAGAUAUUCGCAAGAACACCAGUGGCGAAGGCGGCUCACUGGCCCGGUACUGACGCUGAGGUGCGAAGGCGUGGGGAGCAAACAGG
rnacentral:rRNA from 1 species